UUAGCAUUCACAACUCAAAGUAGAAUCUCAUAUAUAAGAAUGAGGGAAGAAAAAAAAAACUUUGUAACUGAAAUGCUAGAAAUGCGGGUGAUAUAACCAACUCAACCUAACUAUCAAACUUAUGUGGGUGAAGUUUCUCUCUGGGUUCUCUUUUUCAUCCUUCUCCAACCAGAAACUUCGUUAGGGUUUCGCCGUGAUUUCUUCAUUCUCAUCGACCUCUUCUUCUCUUCUCUCUGCAACUCACGCUCUCGUUCUGCGCCGCACUCGAUUUGCAGCACUCGCAGCUCUAGCUUCUCGUCGUAUCCUUUGUGAUAAUAAUGGCAUAUAUAAAACCCUCCAUAGUUAUUUCUUCAUUUGCAGUUUUGGCCUUUUUCAUGCUGUGCAUCUCAUAUGAUGUCCUUACAACUAUCCCUUAUCUGGUUGCGUACAUCAAUGCUGCGAUGUCUUUUGUGUCUUUUAUUCCGAUCUUCGGUUAUAAUAACGACGAUUUCCUGACUAACUAUUUUAUGAAAAGAGGUCUGUUUCACCUUUUCCUGUCCGUAGUCUUCAUGUUCUAUGGCUACUUUAUGUAAGGCUUCCAGGUUUUCCAUUAGAAAGGAGAAGUGCAUUAUAUAGAUAUUGGCCUGUUUUAGGAACACUGCUUCUAUAACUACUAAAAGUUAAUGUGACAAAUGUUGCCUGUCUUUCUAUUCACAUCUUCUAUAUCACAACUAUUAUUAUUA